rnacentral:rRNA from 1 species
CACAGGUUUCAUGUAAGGCGCAGGUGGAGGUUGAGGAGGUUAUGCAUGCCCGGUGCUGGAAGGUAAAGGGGUUCUGUUAGAGUAAUCGAAGCAGUGAACGUAAGCCCCAGUAAACGGCGGACGUAACUAUAACGGUCCUAAGGUAGCGAAAUUCCUUGUCGGGUAAGUUACGACCCGCACGAAAGGCGUAACGAUUUGGGCACUGUCUCAACAACAGACUCGGUGAAAUUGUAAUUCCGGUGAAGAUGCCGGAUACCUGCGACAGGACGGAAAGACCCCAUGGAGCUUUACUGUAUCUUGACAUUGGGUCUUGGUACUACAUGUACAGGAAAGGUGGGAGGCUCUGAAACCAGGACGCCAGCGUUUGCGGAGCCAUCCUUGGGAUACCACCCUUGUAGUACUGGGACUCUAACCAUAGGCCAUGAAUCUGGUCUU